GCAAAAAAUUGCAGCUAAACAGGCGAUAAUCACAGACAAGUGUUAUCGCUGCAAUAAGGUGGGACACAGAGCAGCCUUUUGUCCUCUUAAAGAGUACAAUCUAUGGUACUGCUUUUAUUGCCAGGCUGUAGCUCCACACAAAGGGGAUGAUUGUCCAAAUAAGGACAAUCCCAAAGAUGGAUACAGGAAACCAAGGAGAAACUAAUUCAGAGUAAAGUUCAGAGA